rnacentral:rRNA from 1 species
GAUGAACGCUGGCGGCGUGCCUAAUACAUGCAAGUCGAGCGAACGGACGAGAAGCUUGCUUCUCUGAUGUUAGCGGCGGACGGGUGAGUAACACGUGGAUAACCUACCUAUAAGACUGGGAUAACUUCGGGAAACCGGAGCUAAUACCGGAUAAUAUUUUGAACCGCAUGGUUCAAAAGUGAAAGACGGUCUUGCUGUCACUUAUAGAUGGAUCCGCGCUGCAUUAGCUAGUUGGUAAGGUAACGGCUUACCAAGGCAACGAUGCAUAGCCGACCUGAGAGGGUGGUGGGCGACAGAGAAGGUGACCGCCGGUCCGGGCCCCUAGGGAAGGCAGCGGCGGGGAAGGGUCGGAGAAGGGCGGAAUCUUGACGAAGGAGCGCAAGGUGGAUGAAGAAAGGCUUCGGGUCGUAAAACUCUCUUAUUGGGGAAAAACAUAUGUGUAAGUAACGAUGCGCGUCUGGCCGGAACGGAAUCAGAAGCCCCCGGCUAACUCCUU